CUCCUUUCCUAAUUCUGGUGUGAGGAUCUCCCCAGUCUUUGAAACAUGCAUAAACCAAAGGUUCUCGUUUUUGUAUCCAAAGUAUGAUGAUGCCCAUGAUAUCGAACUAAGCAGAUAAUUAGCUUCCUUCUUCAAAUACAUCAGUAGAGGGGUUCGAGUCUGGAAGCAAGAGUGCUGAUUUGGCUAAAAAUUGCUUCAAAACUGAUGAACAAAGCAGCUGACUAGAAUUCCGUCUCGAAAAGAAAUCACUGAUCACAAGCGUUUUACAGGUGUGGAGGGAAGCUGACGAGUGGAGCGUGACUCGUGUCGUAAGGAGGCGUGCUGCUUCUUCUAUCAUUUCUCUUCCUCUUGCAUCUUCUUCUUCUCCUCCUCCACCUCCUCCUCUUCUCCUCCUCCUACGCUUGUUCCUCUUCCUCUUCCCCUUCCUCCUCCUCUCCUCCUCCUACGCUUGUUCCUCUUCCUCUUCCUUCUCCUCUCCCUUAUCUUCUUCUAGUUGAUGAGACUCGUCGACCCAAAAAGACAUCAGACGUUGAAUAUACAUGGACAAUGGACAGAGCGGGCAGGAUCAAGGCAUGGCAAGGCAGAACAGGCGAAAUGAGAGCAGCGCGCCCGUUAUAAACGAGAAACAGCAACGAAAACUAAAACAAAGGAAUACUAUCGACGUGACAAGUAAACCGAACGACCAAUGAACACAGGAGAGGAACGAGUAGGAGAGGAAGAAAAAGGAGAAGAAAAAAGGUAAUCAGAUGCACGGCAUCGAAGUGAUUGUUGGGAGAGAGUCUAGACAACAUGCAAGGUGAAUGAGGGAGAGAAAUAGAAAAACAAUGAUGAAAUACCGGGAAUAAAGCUCAAUUGAGAAAUUUUGGAUGAAAUAAGAGGGAGCUUCGAGGAUAAAAAUUCAGCACAACAAUGAAAUGAAUUAAUAAUUAUGAAACGAAAAUCCAAUUUAAAUACUGUAGAUUUUCGUUCAGUAAUAAAAUUAUUAAUUCAUUAGCAUUGCAUAAAUGCAAUUUCUCAGUAAAAAUCAAGUUUUAUACAUUAAUUUGUUUGAAUACUGAAACAAAAGAAGAAGAGUAGAAUCAGAGAAAAACUGCCAAUUAAAGGUAAAACAGGAAGCAGAAGGAAGGAAAACAUACAUGAGAGGAGAAAGAAAAAUGAUUAGGAAAAAAGAAGACAAAAUAAGAUAACAAUUAAUGGCAAAAGGAGAAAAUGUUUGAGAAUAUGUGAGUUGUGCAAAAGUAGGUAUAGAGAAGGAUGGCAUGAAGAGAAAAAGUAGUAAGGAGGAGGAGAAUUAGGAGGGAAUUAGGAGGAAUAGGAGACGAAAGUGAGAAGGAUCAGGAAGAAGAAUGAGAAGAAGAAGAAGAAGAACAACAACAACAACAACAGCGAGGAACAGGAGAAUAUUUGACAGCUGGUGAAGAAGAAGAAGAAGAAGAAGAAGAAAAGAAGAAGAAGAAGAAAAAGGAGAAGAAGAAUGUAGCGACACGCAACACAACGCCUUGAAGCUGACUGUUGACCGAUUGCAAUCCAAUCUUCCUCUCUUGCCCUUCUUCUAGCGCCAUUAAUUUGUUUGCAGGGCGGCCCCGAUUUCCUGCUUAAUGCAUUCCCACAGGCACGAGGCAGAAGGCAGACGGCACCAGUACAACAUCCUACAGCUCUUGUUGGAACUCUAUUGUAGUGUUUGGUGAGUUUUCUUUGUAGUAGAUUGUUAUCCCAAUUUUUUGGUUUCUGAUAAUAUGGCACAAUUUUUUUAUUUCUAUUUCCCCCACAAAUUUUCAGCUGUCGUUAAUUUUCAAAUAUUCUAUAAUAUGUUGAAUUUUUGGUGAGAUUCUUUCAAUUGUUUGACUCGAAAAAUUCGACAUUGAUAAGUAAAGGCAACGAAUUAUUGACAAUCUCUUUGAUGAAUACACCACACAUUCCCAUAUGAGGGAUAAAUACUAUGCCUAAUAUUUAAAUGAAUUCUUUUUUAGUUUUUACAGUCAUAUACUUUGAUAAAUUAUGGAAAACCUGACAUAACCUGUAUUUUGUUUGCAACUUUUAGAAGGAAAGAUUUGAACUCUUUUAUAUUUUACUUGUUCCCUUGGAACGAGUUCACCAAACUCGAAAUUUGUGGAAAAACAUGUCAAAUUUAAUGUCAUCUCUCGUUAUCUUCUUUAAUUGAGAUUACCCACCUCAAAAUAUUUGAAAUGUAGUUAUACAUGAAAAAAUGCUAAAAUUCAAGUUACUUAAAAAACAAUCCAUACAGAAAUUUCCAAUUUUUCUUGAUCAUUUUUCAAUACAUAAUGAUGGACCUCACAUGAUGACAUCUACUGUACUUUUAUUUCCCAAUAACAUGGACCAUUGUAUCAUUUUCAUAAUUUUCUAAAAGCUGUCUCGCAUGAAGACUCAAUUUUGUUGGGAGUGUGUGAGGAGUGUUAUGAACACAGAAAAAGCAAUUUCAAAGUUGGUCGUAUAUAAUGCCGUACAUAAAGCAAUAUAAUGCCGUUGAUGGCACAGUCUCAGCAUACUCUUUCAGGUAAUAAAACUUGUGGAAAUUGUUGUGCCAUAAAAUAUAACAAUUCUCACAUGCGGCAUUAUUAAAUAUACAGAUGAAAAACUGAAUACAGCUCUUGGAUUUCACUUUGCCCACCUUUAUCUAUGGUUUUAUGCUAAGCUAUUUUUUGACCCUCCUGCUUUGAACCCACUAAUGCCAUAACAAUUCUCUUUUUACAUC